UCCUGCGGCGCAGCCACGUGCCUGAUGCAGAAACACUUUGCAGACCUAACGCAACACCUUUAGAAAGGUGAGCACCAGAAAGAGCAUCCACCGGGGCUGUCCCUGCGCCGGAACUGCGGGCACUCGGGUCCCAAAGGAAGCAGCAACAAAGGAUCUAGAAGCAAGCCAGAAAAAGAGCAAAGGCCCGUGGGCGCAGCAGCUCCACGGCGUCGCUAGAGCUCAUCUCGCUCGCUGGCCCUGCGCGGCCACACCUGCCUGUGCCACUGACUACGGCAGCUGCUUUACGGGGCUGCGGACAUUGGCUGAGGUUACUGCUACACGUGGGGAAAACAAGCCUGCAACACAGGCCAGAAAGCACAUUUGGAAUCCUUCUCAGACAGGACAACAACCAGACAUCCGUGACCAGAACUCACAUUACCUUCCCAAAGUUGUCAGUGUGCUUCCGAUAGUCUAGGUCCUCAUCCUGAAGGGAGAUAAAGAGUCAAAACGUUUAAGCACUCACACGGCUCAUCCAAGCACGAACACGCUCGCGUGUGGCACAAGUGCUGCGAGGUGUGGCUCAGGCCGCAUGCCGUCGAUCCCUGACACCGCACGCUGACAAACCAGUUAAUGCCUAAACCAGAGCCGUGCCCCAGCGUGACUCACAGGACACGUGUCCCUGUCUGAUCGCGGCCUGGCACCACGGUGGCGGCGGCUCCUGCCCAACCUGCAGCCCUGACGGCGUUGCGCAACCUGCGUCCUCCCUCGCAGGACAGCGUCCGUCCCCCGAGACGCUCCGCGGCAGACGGGCUCAGAUGCGCAGACUGCGCCUCGUCUUGCCGUGAACUCACACACUACGGCUUCAGCACACUGAAAGAGCUCCCUCCACCCCGGGCUCUCCUGUGGUCCCUGGCCUCAUCCCUGCGGUUGUCCGGGUGACUCCAUUCACUGCACUGCUUGUUUACCGAGUCAAUUCAACUCGUUAACCAACCCAAAACUACUCCCUGUAUUUCCCUUUGGUUAGGUGAGCCAUCUGCCAGGCAGCGAGCUGAGGAGGCUCAGGACAGGUCUGACAAGGCUAGAGACAGCAGAAGGCAGAAGCGCGCGGCUCGGCGGGAAGAAGAGGCGUUCCAGUCCUGGCAGCGCGGGGCUGACAGAUCAUCGCGGCUGCACCAUGUGCAUUCCCCCUGGGGAAGCCGCAGCCUGUGGUCCCACAGUGUCCUUGACGCCCACACCAAACACGAGAAAUCAAAGCUUUUAUCCCCCCAGGCCCUUCCAAAGCAGCACAGGCCGAGAUCGCGCUGCGGUCUCGGCUCAAGCAGACAUUAACAGAGCGCUUUGCUGCGCUGGCCGUGAUCGGCUCGCCGGCUCUGCAGGCACCCAGGAGCUCCACGGCCACGGGGACAGCAAAAGGCGGGAGCUGGCGUGGGCCUGGACUCCCAACUCCCACCCAGAGCCCUGUGACUCACUAUGUUGCUGUGGUGAGCCUUAGUCAUGAGCAGCAUGCGGCCAACCAGGUCAGUAGUGGACACACCUUGGGUGCGUUUGCAUUCCCUGCGGGGAGACAGGCAAAGGAUAAAGCAGAAGCCACGGGAGCACACACCUCUCUCUUCCCACCACGACCACAGGAACAGCUGUGACACCUGACAAGUCCAGACCCGGGGCUGUCCUGGGAAAGCCUUCCUGCCUGCUCUGGAUGUGACGUUUAGUGUGUGUUUGCUGAGCUCUGGUUCUCCACGCCACGGCAGCUGCUCACGUGCACCCUGCCCAGGCUGCCCCGCAGAGCCCAGGCCAGCCGGCGGCCGCUCUGCACGCUCCCCAGGAGCCACAACAGCGGCAGCCACUGAAACUCCGACACACUGCACCAAGACUAAAGUGUGACCUACAGAUGGCUGCGUUUCGUCUGACUUCAUCCUUUUGGGCACGAACUCCCAGAAACUCUGCCCAAAACUGGCUGAGAAGAGAGAGAAAAGCCUCAGGACUGCAGCCCCAGCCCUCCCGCACGAAAGCCGCGGCACCACCGGCCACCGGGCCCACGGCCCUUCAGACCGUCCAGAAAACCCGAGCCGGGCGCACUCGCGGUGAAUCCACCGGCAGGCGCGGCUGAAUUACGGUCCGAACGACAAUAACCAGCUCCCACCAGAUUCAGUAUUAAAAAGCACCUUAAGCUUAAA